AUGCCCACACCACAUUGAAAACACCCUACCUCAUCUGAUCUUGGAAGCUAAGCAAGGUCAUGCCUGGUUAGUACUUGGAUGGGAGAACAUAAGGCUAUUUGGGAUCACAGGCAUU
rnacentral:rRNA from 1 species